CAGCCGUAAACAAUGUGCAUUAGGUGUGUCGGUAACCACGCGUUACUGAUGCGCCGAAGAGAAAUCGUGAAACGCACCACCUGGGAAGUACGGUCGCAAGGCUGAAACUUAAAGGAAUUGGCGGGGGAGCACCACAACAGGUGGAGCCUGCGGUUUAAUUGGAUUCAACGCCGGACAUCUCACCGGAUAAGACAGCUGAAUGAUUGUCAAUCUGAAGGUUUUACAUGACUAGCUGAGAGGAGGUGCAUGGCG
rnacentral:rRNA from 1 species